rnacentral:rRNA from 1 species
AUAACAGGGAUGAAGUCGUAACAAGGCAUCCGUAGCGGAAGCUGUGGAUGGAUCAACUCCUUU